UACCAUACGCAACUUCAAUGUUGGGACC
rnacentral:piRNA from 1 species